rnacentral:rRNA from 1 species
GUGGGGAAUAUUGCACAAUGGGCGCAAGCCUGAUGCAGCGACGCCGCGUGGGGGAUGAAGGCCUUCGGGUUGUAAACUCCUUUCGCUACCGACGAAGCCUCUUUGGGGUGACGGUAGGUGGAGAAGAAGCACCGGCUAACUACGUGCCAGCAGCCGCGGUAAUACGUAGGGUGCGAGCGUUGUCCGGAUUUACUGGGCGUAAAGAGCUCGUAGGUGGUUUGUCGCGUCGUCUGUGAAAUUCCGGGGCUUAACUCCGGGCGUGCAGGCGAUACGGGCAUAACUUGAGUGCUGUAGGGGUAACUGGAAUUCCUGGUGUAGCGGUGGAAUGCGCAGAUAUCAGGAGGAACACCGAUGGCGAAGGCAGGUUACUGGGCAGUUACUGACGCUGAGGAGCGAAAGCAUGGGUAGCGAACAGGA